CGCCAGGUGCAUUCGAUGGAACUAGAGAUUCCACGAAUCUCUACCUCGAACACUCCAAGACUUGUCUGAUCAUAAUGGGAAAAAUGGUAUAUCAUGCUCUCAACCGGAAAUUUUGGGUCUCAAACGAAAGAAGACUUUACCAUUUACCCAGUGCACAUUUGCAUAAAAUAGCCUUUGUAUAAGGCCUACGUUUUGAGCGUCACUGACUUAGUUCAAAAAAGGUCUUGUUUGCAAGAGGUUUGCCUAUUUUUGUAGUGAAAAGUUGAUUAUGUACUUACUUUGAAUUUUUUUCUACUUUUUUUUUUUUAAAUAGUGACUUAGUUUUAAAAUCAAUAAUCAAAUGCCCACCGCUGAAAUUGCGGCCACUCACGCAAUGUCAAACGAUAAGAAUAAUGGAGUAAAAGCCAUAUAACAGAUACCGUUAAAUGAAGUCAAGAAAAUCAAGCUAGUAUCAGUUACAACAGCAACGAAGAAGUACGAAAUGCGAAAUUGCAUGACCAUUAAGAUUUUACCUUAAUGAGUACAAAAGAACUCGUAUUCAAGCUUUAAACGGUUCGAGUUAUGCCACAAACGAGAAGCGUGAAAGGGCUUCCGCGGACGAGAUGACCUCUUCUCGAACACACGAACAGAAUAUGUAGCAGCAUUGUGCAAAUUGCAGCAAUGAAAAUAGAGAAGAGCGACAUAGUCAGAGAAAAAAUGAGGGAGGAAGAAGAGAGAGCACUCCUGGCGCGCAUGAACGAGUAAAAACAUGCAGCAAUGAAUUGCAAGUAUUCAGACUAUUUUUAUUGUUGUUGCUGUGAAAAUUGCAUAUAAAUUAUAGUUGCUGCAAAAGUUGUUGGUACUAUAGCUUCAGCUGCUGCUGCUGAUACCGCAUACCAACCGACUACAACUACAACCAAGUACAAGUUCAUCUACCCUAGAAUGUCAACAAUAGCAUGAGCAACAACACGAAACUAACAGAGGCAUCGGACGAAUAAAGAAUGAAAUCGUUUUGCCACACAUGUAUUGUACCAAAUUUCAGAUCAAAGUAGAUGAAUGUGGGGGCGAGAAAAAGUCACUUAAGAUUUACUUCUGUAUUUCGAAUCGUAGGCUAUCUACAAAAUUCGCGGUCACAAGGCUGUCUCUUAUAACCAAAAUCGUAAAUCGGGUGUGUUGAAACAGCAACAAAACCUUAAUGCAGGAAAAAUUAUUUAAAUAAAAAUAAAAGAAAUAAAAAGAAAGAAUUGCGCCGAACAUCAACAGAUAUCAAGAAAGGUAAGAAUGCUAUUUUUUACAUCCGAUUAGUAAAAAGAAGAAUAUUUACUGCACGUUAAACAGUGUUUGCGAUUACAUAA